AAGUCGUAACAAGGUUUCCGUAGGUGAACCUGCGGAAGGAUCAUUAAUGAAUUAUGUCGCAAGACAAUUCUUUCAAACACUUGUGAAAUAUAUAUUUUGCUUUGGCUUUACGGCCAACAUUAAACACAUCAAGAAUUAAUUGUCUGAAACUGAAUAUAAAUUAUUCAAAACUUUCAACAACGGAUCUCUUGGUUCUCGCAUCGAUGAAGAACGCAGCGAAUUGCGAUAAGUAAUGUGAAUUGCAGAAUUUUGUGAAUCAUCGAAUCUUUGAACGCACAUUGCGCCCUCUGGUAUUCCAGGGGGCAUACCUGUUUGAGCGUCAUUUCAUUCUUAAAAUUUAUUUUAGUAUUGAGUUGUUUGUUGUCAAUAACUCGAAAUGAAAUUGCAGAAGCGACUCUAGCUUUCACAACGUAUUAGGUUUUACCAUCUCGUUGGCUACGGAGCUAGAGCAGCAUCGGCGUUAUAACCAAACUUAUAAGUUUGACCUCAAAUCAGGCAAGAUUACCCGCUGAACUUAAGCAUAUCAAUAAGCGGAGGAAAAGAAACCAACAGGGAUUGCCUUAGUAACGGCGAGUGAAGCGGCAAAAGCUCAAAUUUGAAAUCUGGCAUUCUGUGUCCGAGUUGUAAUUUGAAGAAGGUAACUUUGGGGUUGGCUCUUGCAUAUGUUCCUUGGAACAGGACGUCAUAGAGGGUGAGAAUCCCGUACAUGGUGAGAGAACCAACUCUUUGUAAAGUGCCUUCGAAGAGUCGAGUUGUUUGGGAAUGCAGCUCUAAGUGGGUGGUAAAUUCCAUCUAAAGCUAAAUAUUGGCGAGAGACCGAUAGCGAACAAGUACAGUGAUGGAAAGAUGAAAAGAACUUUGAAAAGAGAGUGAAAAAGUACGUGAAAUUGUUGAAAGGGAAGGGCUUGAAAUCAGACUUGGUAUUCAACGAACAGCUUUCUUUCGGGAAGGUGCACUCGUUGUUUACUGGGCCAACAUCGAUUUGGACGGCGGGAGAAUGGCAGUUGAAUGUGGCUUGAUUUAUCAAGUGUUAUAGCCUCUGUUGAUACCGCCAGACUGGAUCGAGGACUGCGCUUCGGCUAGGAUGUUGGCGUAAUGAUUUUAAGCCACC
rnacentral:rRNA from 1 species